CCUACGGGAGGCAGCAGUGAGGAAUUUUGCGCAAUGGGGGAAACCCUGACGCAGCAACGCCGCGUGAGUGAAGAAGGCUUUCGGGUCGUAAAGCUCUGUCAAGUGGGAAAAAAGUUCUAUCGUUAAUAGCGGUGGAAUCUGAUGGUACCACUAGAGGAAGCACCGGCUAACUCCGUGCCAGCAGCCGCGGU
rnacentral:rRNA from 1 species